CAAAAGUCUUAGUGCGGUUUUA
rnacentral:miRNA from 12 species